rnacentral:rRNA from 1 species
AUUAGCCGUUGGCGGCGUGGAUUAGGCAUGCAAGUCGUGCGAGAAGUCUUUUGCUUGCAUUAGACGGACAGCGGCGAAAGGGAGAGUAACGCGUGGAUACCUACCCCUGGGUUCGGGAUAGCUGCGGGAAACUGCAGGUAAUACCGAAUAAUAUCCCCGGAUCAAAGGUGUGAUUCCGCCUAGGGACGGAUCCACGUCCUAUUAGCUUGUUGGUGGGGUAACGGCCUACCAAGGCGACGAUGGGUACCGGGCGUGAGAGCGUGACCCGGCUCACUGGGACUGAGACACUGCCCAGACACCUACGGGUGGCCUGCAGUCGAGAAUCUUCGGCAAUGGACGCAAGUCUGACCGAGCGACGCCGCGUGCGGGAUGAAGGCCUUCGGGUUGUAAACCGCUGUCAGUUGGGAGGAAAUCACAUGGGGUUCUCCCCAUGUGUUGACCUAUCUUCACA